UAUGAGAGCCAAUGCCGUAGCUAUUAGGAUUUGUGCAGCUUGUGCAAUCAUACUGAAUGUGACCCCAGGUUGGAUAUGUAUUGUCUGAAUAUCCUUGCUCUCCUUUAGCUCCUCUGCUCAGUACUGUUACAUUUUUUUGGGUGUAUUUGACUGAUUUUUCUUGUGUGUAUUUCUAAUUCUUCUGCUCUUUUGAGUUUCCUGGAGAAGGUAUAUUCAUUUUUGCUGAUUCAAUCAGUCCGUACCUCGGAAGAUCUUGGCAUGUUUAGUUAUUAUUUGCAAAUCCUACAUCAGCAGCAUUGGAAUGGUUCACAGAAAUUUUUAUAAUGCAGCUAAAAUGAAAAGCUCCAUGUGGAGGAAGCGAUGCUGCUGAGUCAACUGAAUGGAUCAUGAUAACUAGCCCUGGGUUUACUGAAGAAGUUGGCAGUUCACUUAUGACCUCAGUCUCUGGAAAAGCUGCUAGGACUUACAAGUAUAAGGCUAAAGGCAGCAAAGGCUCACUUGGCAAUCCACUCACUCCUGUUGUUUCUUGCUACUAUGAAAAUUCGUUAGGUUCAUCUCAUUUCAAACUUUCUGCAAUCUGCUUACCCUGACUGUUGUAAUCCGCCAUGGUAUUUUUCUUAGAUCUGGCUACAUCAUCUUGUCUGAUACUAAUUCAUUUCAAUAGCUAUCCUCACAAAAAAGAAAAGUAAAGACCUUCCAAAGUUCCCGAAAAAGGCCUGGCAUCUCUUUAUCUAAUGUUUGUUCAGGACUGUUGACCAAACUCGUUAGUUUACUCAAGCAUGCUAAGGACGCAUUGUAGAUUUAAACAAUACUGCAGAGACAUUAGAGGUAUGGAUCUUUUUCCCGUUAAAGCUGGCAUCUUCAGUUCUUUUUUUGACAGCUCAUAUAUGGUUUCUAACAAUUCAGGUUUAAAAAAAGGCCAUAAAUGGCAUUAGAAACGUUUUUAAGGAAUUGGGCAAAUAGAAAAGAAGCUUAAGAAUAGAAUCCGUGCGAAGUAGUCUUCAUCUCCCCUCAUUUCUUAACCAUCUAUGCAUGUAUUAAUGGUUCAAAAUGCUAAGCUCGCAACACUGCAUGGGUUUGGAUCAAUUAUAAACUAACUUGAUAUAAUGAAAUCUGGAUUUGCAGUAUUUUGGUGGCCUUAACAGCUCAACAUUCUAGCUGCGGGGAAGAGGCCCAUCAAGGACUUGAGGAGAAUGAGGAGAUGGCCCCUUGCACCGGUCCGAGCAUAUCGCCUUGCUCACGGAGGUGGCAUACCGAUUAGAUCACAGUGACAUAGUGGUGUUGCAAAAUCAAGAUGACACGGUGGAAGAAUAGCAAUAGAAACCACCGAUUGUAAAG